rnacentral:rRNA from 1 species
GGACGAGAAGCUUGCUUCUCUGAUGUUAGCGGCGGACGGGUGAGUAACACGUGGAUAACCUACCUAUAAGACUGGGAUAACUUCGGGAAACCGGAGCUAAUACCGGAUAAUAUUUUGAACCGCAUGGUUCAAAAGUAAAAGACGGUCUUGCUGUCACUUAUAGAUGGAUCCGCGCUGCAUUAGCUAGUUGGUAAGGUAACGGCUUACCAAGGCAACGAUGCAUAGCCGACCUGAGAGGGUGAUCGGCCACACUGGAACUGAGACACGGUCCAGACUCCUACGGGAGGCAGCAGUAGGGAAUCUUCCGCAAUGGGCGAAAGCCUGACGGAGCAACGCCGCGUGAGUGAUGAAGGUCUUCGGAUCGUAAAACUCUGUUAUUAGGGAAGAACAUAUGUGUAAGUAACUGUGCACAUCUUGACGGUACCUAAUCAGAAAGCCACGGCUAACUACGUGCCAGCAGCCGCGGUAAUACGUAGGUGGCAAGCGUUAUCCGGAAUUAUUGGGCGUAAAGCGCGCGUAGGCGGUUUUUUAAGUCUGAUGUGAAAGCCCACGGCUCAACCGUGGAGGGUCAUUGGAAACUGGAAAACUUGAGUGCAGAAGAGGAAAGUGGAAUUCCAUGUGUAGCGGUGAAAUGCGCAGAGAUAUGGAGGAACACCAGUGGCGAAGGCGACUUUCUGGUCUGUAACUGACGCUGAUGUGCGAAAGCGUGGGGAUCAAACAGGAUUA